CAUUAGCCACGGUAAUACGGAGGGUGCAAGCGUUAAUCGGAAUUACUGGGCGUAAAGCGCACGCAGGCGGUCUGUCAAGUCGGAUGUGAAAUCCCCGGGCUCAACCUGGGAACUGCAUUCGAAACUGGCAGGCUAGAGUCUUGUAGAGGGGGGUAGAAUUCCAGGUGUAGCGGUGAAAUGCGUAGAGAUCUGGAGGAAUACCGGUGGCGAAGGCGGCCCCCUGGACAAAGACUGACGCUCAGGUGCGAAAGCGUGGGGAGCAAACAGGAUUAGAUACCCCGGUAGUCCCUGUCUCUUAUAC
rnacentral:rRNA from 1 species